AUGUGCUCAUUUCUUAAUUUUCUCAUACCUGUCAGACAUCCUUUGAUUCUUUUGACAUUUUUGCCCCUUUAUCUCACAUUUACAAAAAGAACAAAGAAAGAAAAAGGAUAGCCAAAUAGCGCAGCUUAAUUAAUGUGAAUAAAUAUGGAUUUACAACAUGGCUCUAUCAAAAGCACCUUGGUAAAAACUAAAUUUUGGAGCUGAGAUUCCAAGAAAACAAGCUGCAAGGAAAUGGUUGCUUUUCUUUAAAUAAAGCACUAGAAUUCAUCAUUUUCUUCAACUUCUACAUUAAUUUUUCACAAGUAGUGAGAAGCUUUGAUAAGUUAAAGAAAAAGGGUAUUUAAGUAAGUCUACCAUGCCCUUUAGUACUUCUUUCUUUCUUUAGAGUUUUAUUAUACUAAUAAUUAAUGUCAAAUAAUUGAUACUAGUGCACAAGUGUUCACAUAUUAUUUUCAUUCAUUCAAAGAUUUAAAAGAAAGAAAGAAGAAGGAAGAAAGAAAGAAGUUCUAGGUCAUCUGGCCUUUGUUUUGUUGCCCCAUAUAAUAGAUAGACUCGGAAUUCAUUGAACACUGAUAACUCGUGUGACUUUCUCCACACAUCUCAGAGAAAGCAUUAAAAUGAUUAGAUUUCGAGAUGCAAUGACAGUAGUGAUGCGUGUAAUGUUAAGGAAAAGCAUGAGCAUAUACGAGGAAUUGGCUUAUGUGUUGGGGGACUUAGUUUGGAUUCUGAAUUCAAUGGUUCGAUUUUCAGGCAUGUUUGUUCUAAGGAGGUCUAGUUCUGUAUCUGCUCGCCACUAUUCACCUAUGCGUGUUCGGCCCGAUCGAUAAGGUUUGAAAGAGUCUCCUCUCUCUACUAUUAAGUAGAUCAUAGAAUCAAUUAAUUCCGAUAUCGUCGAGCCCGGUCCGGCCGCUUUGUCUAAAUAUGUAAUGUUGCUGCAAGUAAAUUGCCUCUCCCUUGUCAAUUUUCCUUGUGGAAGAUUCUUGAGCUAAGAAUAAUGAUCAUUCCCUUCCUCUCUUCAUUAGUGUUUGUAAUUUUUUAUGACUAUUAAGAAACAUCGCUUUAAUUUUGGAUCCUUCAUUAGUAAAAUGUUACUAAUUGAUAGAGUUGUUGAUU